UACAGAGGAGCCAAGCGUUGUCCGGAUUGACUGGGCGUAAAGCGCACGCAGGCGGGGGGUGCGCGUGGGGUGUGAAAUCUGGCCGCUUAACGGCCAGGCGCCAUCCCAUACGGCACGCCUGGAGCCUUGCAGAGGUCGGUGGAAUUGCCGGUGUAGUGGUGAAAAUGCGUAGAGAUCGGCAGGAACACCCAGGGGGGAAACCAGCCGACUGGGCAAGUGCUGACGCUGAGGUGCGAGAGCGUGGGGGAGCGAACCGG
rnacentral:rRNA from 1 species